AUUGAACGCUGGCGGCAGGCCUAACACAUGCAAGUCGAGCGAGCGGCGGACGGGUGAGUAAUGUUUGGGAAACUGCCUGAUGGAGGGGGAUAACUACUGGAAACGGUAGCUAAUACCGCAUACCAUCAGAUGUGCCCCGAUGGGAUUAGUUAGGUGGUGGGGUAACGGCUCACCAAGGCGACGAUCCCUAGCUUGUCUGAGAGGAUGACCAGCCACACUGGAACUGAGACACGGUCCAGACUCCAACUGGAGGCAGCAGUGGGGAAUAUUGCACAAUGGGCGCAAGCCUGAUGCAGCAAUGCCGCGUGUGUGAAGAAGGCUUUCGGGUUGUAAAGCACUUUCAGCGGGGAGGCGGUACCCGCAGAAGAAGCAACGGCUAACUCCGUGCCAGCAGCCGCGGUAAUAC
rnacentral:rRNA from 1 species